UACGUAGGGUGCAAGCGUUGUCCGGAAUUAUUGGGCGUAAAGAGCGCGUAGGCGGUUCGUCGCGUCGGCUGUGAAAACCUGAGGCUCAACCUCAGGCCUGCAGUCGAUACGGGCGGACUUGAGUACUGCAGGGGAGACUGGAAUUCCUGGUGUAGCGGUGAAAUGCGCAGAUAUCAGGAGGAACACCGGUGGCGAAGGCGGGUCUCUGGGCAGUAACUGACGCUGAGGAGCGAAAGCGUGGGGAGCGAACAGG
rnacentral:rRNA from 1 species